AGAGUUUGAUCCUGGCUCAGGACGAACGCUUGCGGCGUGCCUAAUGUAUGCAAGUCGAGCGGGGGCGGUCCCUUCGGGGACCAACCUAGCGGCGAACGGUUGAGUAACACGUAGGCAACCUGCCCCGAAGUCGGGAAUAACGCCUCGAAAGAGGCGCUAAUACCGGAUGUGGCCCUUUGUCGCAUGGCGAAGUGGCUAAAGCAGCAAUGCGCUUCGGGAUGGGCCUGCGGCCUAUCAGCUAGUUGGUGGGGUCACGGCCUACCAAGGCGACGACGGGUAGCUGGUCUGAGAGGAUGGUCAGCCAGACAGGGACUGAGACACGGCCCUGACUCCUUUGGGGGGCAGCAAUGAGGGAUAUUGCGCAAUGGGGGCAACCCUGACGCAGCGACGCCGCGUGGGUGACGAAGUCCUUCGGGAUGUAAAGCCCUUUUACCGGGGAUGAGAUGGACAGUACCCGGUGAAUAAGCCCCGGCUAACUACGUGCCAGCAGCCGCGGUAAUACGUAGGGGGCGAGCGUUGUCCGGAAUUAUUGGGCGUAAAGCGCGCGCAGGCGGCUUCUUAAGUCUGAUGUGAAAGCCCACGGCUCAACCGUGGAGGGUCAUUGGAAACUGGGAAACUUGAGUGCAGAAGAGGAAAGCGGAAUUCCACGUGUAGCGGUGAAAUGCGUAGAGAUGUGGAGGAACACCAGUGGCGAAGGCGGCUUUCUGGUCUGUAACUGACGCUGAGGCGCGAAAGCGUGGGGAGCAAACAGGAUUAGAUACCCUGGUAGUCC
rnacentral:rRNA from 1 species